AUGCUCGCUUCAGCAGCACAUACACUAAAACUGGAACGAUACAGAGAAGAUCAGGGUGGACACUGUGCAAGGAUGACACGCAAAUGCAUGAAGCGGUCCAUUUUUUA